GACGAACGCUGGCGGCGUGCUUAACACAUGCAAGUCGAACGGAAAGGCCCUGCUUUUGUGGGGUGCUCGAGUGGCGAACGGGUGAGUAACACGUGAGUAACCUGCCCUUGACUUUGGGAUAACUUCAGGAAACUGGGGCUAAUACCGGAUAGGAGCUCCUGCUGCAUGGUGGGGGUUGGAAAGUUUCGGCGGUUGGGGAUGGACUCGCGGCUUAUCAGCUUGUUGGUGGGGUAGUGGCUUACCAAGGCUUUGACGGGUAGCCGGCCUGAGAGGGUGACCGGCCACAUUGGGACUGGGAUACGGCCCAGACUCCUACGGGAGACAGCAGUGGGGAAUAUUGCACAAUGGGCGGAAGCCUGAUGCAGCAACGCCGCGUGCGGGAUGACGGCCUUCGGGUUGUAAACCGCUUUCGCCUGUGACGAAGCGUGAGUGACGGUAAUGGGUAAAGAAGCACCGGCUAACUACGUG
rnacentral:rRNA from 1 species